GUGACCCUAAACAAACGCACCCACGUUUUUGCGUCAACAGGUGCACGCUGAUUGCCGGAAAGCUAACGGUGCUGUGUGGCGGUGAAUUCAACAUAAACACCGGGGCUAUAACCGACAGUGAGGACUUCUCCUUCAAGACAGCACAGAAGUGGAGAGGACUGCUAGGAUGAACGGCGUCCAAAGUGCAAACAGUAGGAUGGUGUCCUGUUUCAUGUGAAAGCUGAGACGACGCAACCAAGGCUCAUCGAAACUGGAGGAAGAAACAAAAAGAGGUGGAAGAAAGUCUGAGAGAAGAUGAUCUCCUCUCCUGUUUUCAGGCAAAGAAACUCCGCUGUAGG